GAACGGUGGCGGCGGUGUUUAACACCUGCAAGUCGAACGAUGAUUGUUUGGUGCUUGCACUGGGUGGAUUAGUGGGGAACGGGUGAGUAAUACGUGAGUAACCUGCCCCUGUCUUUGGGAUAAGCCUGGGAAACUGGGUUUAAUACUGGAUAUUCUGCUUGAACCGCAUGGUUUUUGUUGGAAAGAUUUUUCGGAUGGGGAUGGGCUCACGGCCUAUCAGCUUGUUGGUGGGGUGAUGGCCUACCAAGGCGUCGACGGGUAGCCGGCCUGAGAGGGUGACCGGCCACAUUGGGACUGAGAUACGGCCCAGACUCCUACGGGAGGCAGCAGUGGGGAAUAUUGCACAAUGGACGCAAGUCUGAUGCAGCGACGCCGCGUGGGGGAUGAAGGCUUUCGGGUUGUAAACUCCUUUCAGUACAGAAGAAGCGAAAGUGACGGUAUGUGCAGAAGAAGCACCGGCUAACUACGUGCCAGCAGCCGCGGUAAUACGUAGGGUGCGAGCGUUGUCCGGAAUUAUUGGGCGUAAAGAGCUCGUAGGCGGUUUGUUGCGCCUGCUGUGAAGACCUGGGGCUUAACUUCGGGAUUGCAGUGGGUACGGGCAGACUAGAGUGUGGUAGGGGUAAUUGGAAUUCCUGGUGUAGCGGUGGAAUGCGCAGAUAUCAGGAGGAACACCGAUGGCGAAGGCAGGUUACUGGGCCACCACUGACGCUGAGGAGCGAAAGCGUGGGUAGCGAACAGGAUUAGAUACCCUGGUAGUCCACGCCGUAAACGUUGGGCACUAGGUGUGGGGCCUUUCCAUGGGUUCUGCGCCGUAGCUAACGCAUUAAGUGCCCC
rnacentral:rRNA from 1 species